AGACUAAGGAGUUUUUGUAAUUAACAAGCAUGUCCCUAACAUUAUCCAUAGACCAGAGUGAAGAAGUUAUGUGUGUGUGGUGAGGGGAAGAAUUUCUAAACUGUUAAACAUUUUGUAAAGGGGUCUGGAACCUCAAAAAUGUAGGGAACCCCUGUCCUGGGUUCAUUUUUGAAUCCUCUGUUCAUUUUUGACACUUACAGUGUCAGCCUCCAGAGUCGAGUCCUCAGAGAUGAACUUUGGCAUCCCUGAAGCCAGCUCUGCUGUCAGACUAAUCACUGGCACCUAGUUACCUGGAAGAAGCCUUCAGGGUGGCUGCAUUUCUAUAGCACUUUUGGAUUAUGUGUGUUAGAACUUCCUUCAAAUAAAACUUAGGUUUUUUUAGUAACAGAGUUUAAUUUUAGAUUGUCAGUGUCACU
rnacentral:lncRNA from 1 species